AAUGCAGGCGGCAGGCUUAACACAUGCGAGUCCAGUGGGGGAGGGUAGCUUGCUACCUGACCUAGCGGCGGACGGGUGAGUAAUGCUUAGGAAUCUGCCUAUUAGUGGGGGACAACAUUCCGAAAGGAAUGCUAAUACCGCAUACGCCCUACGGGGGAAAGCAGGGGAUCUUCGGACCUUGCGCUAAUAGAUGAGCCUAAGUCAGAUUAGCUAGUUGGUGGGGUAAAGGCCUACCAAGGCGACGAUCUGUAGCGGGUCUGAGAGGAUGAUCCGCCACACUGGGACUGAGACACGGCCCAGACUCCUACGGGAGGCAGCAGUGGGGAAUAUUGGACAAUGGGCGAAAGCCUGAUCCAGCCAUGCCGCGUGUGUGAAGAAGGCCUUUUGGUUGUAAAGCACUUUAAGCGAGGAGGAGGCUACCGAGAUUAAUACUCUUGGAUAGUGGACGUUACUCGCAGAAUAAGCACCGGCUAACUCUGUGCCAGCAGCCGCGGUAAUACAGAGGGUGCGAGCGUUAAUCGGAUUUACUGGGCGUAAAGCGUGCGUAGGCGGCUUUUUAAGUCGGAUGUGAAAUCCCUGAGCUUAACUUAGGAAUUGCAUUCGAUACUGGGAAGCUAGAGUAUGGGAGAGGAUGGUAGAAUUCCAGGUGUAGCGGUGAAAUGCGUAGAGAUCUGGAGGAAUACCGAUGGCGAAGGCAGCCAUCUGGCCUAAUACUGACGCUGAGGUACGAAAGCAUGGGGAGCAAACAGGAUUAGAUACCCUGGUAGUCCAUGCCGUAAACGAUGUCUACUAGCCGUUGGGGCCUUUGAGGCUUUAGUGGCGCAGCUAACGCGAUAAGUAGACCGCCUGGGGAGUACGGUCGCAAGACUAAAACUCAAAUGAACU
rnacentral:rRNA from 1 species